rnacentral:rRNA from 1 species
UUAAGCGACUAAGCGUACACGGUGGAUGCCCUGGCAGUCAGAGGCGAUGAAGGACGUGCUAAUCUGCGAUAAGCGUCGGUAAGGUGAUAUGAACCGUUAUAACCGGCGAUUUCCGAAUGGGGAAACCCAGUGUGAUUCGUCACACUAUCAUUAACUGAAUCCAUAGGUUAAUGAGGCGAACCGGGGGAACUGAAACAUCUAAGUACCCCGAGGAAAAGAAAUCAACCGAGAUUCCCCCAGUAGCGGCGAGCGAACGGGGAGCAGCCCAGAGCCUGAAUCAGUGUGUGUGUUAGUGGAAGCGUCUGGAAAGGCGCGCGAUACAGGGUGACAGCCCCGUACACAAAAAUGCACAUGCUGUGAGCUCGAUGAGUAGGGCGGGACACGUGGUAUCCUGUCUGAAUAUGGGGGGACCAUCCUCCAAGGCUAAAUACUCCUGACUGACCGAUAGUGAACCAGUACCGUGAGGGAAAGGCGAAAAGAACCCCGGCGAGGGGAGUGAAAAAGAACCUGAAACCGUGUACGUACAAGCAGUGGGAGCACAGAGCAAUCUGUGUGACUGCGUACCUUUUGUAUAAUGGGUCAGCGACUUAUAUUCUGUAGCAAGGUUAACCGAAUAGGGGAGCCGAAGGGAAACCGAGUCUUAACUGGGCGUUAAGUUGCAGGGUAUAGACCCGAAACCCGGUGAUCUAGCCAUGGGCAGGUUGAAGGUUGGGUAACACUAACUGGAGGACCGAACCGACUAAUGUUGAAAAAUUAGCGGAUGACUUGUGGCUGGGGGUGAAAGGCCAAUCAAACCGGGAGAUAGCUGGUUCUCCCCGAAAGCUAUUUAGGUAGCGCCUCGUGAAUUCAUCUCCGGGGGUAGAGCACUGUUUCGGCAAGGGGGUCAUCCCGACUUACCAACCCGAUGCAAACUGCGAAUACCGGAGAAUGUUAUCACGGGAGACACACGGCGGGUGCUAACGUCCGUCGUGAAGAGGGAAACAACCCAGACCGCCAGCUAAGGUCCCAAAGUCAUGGUUAAGUGGGAAACGAUGUGGGAAGGCCCAGACAGCCAGGAUGUUGGCUUAGAAGCAGCCAUCAUUUAAAGAAAGCGUAAUAGCUCACUGGUCGAGUCGGCCUGCGCGGAAGAUGUAACGGGGCUAAACCAUGCACCGAAGCUGCGGCAGCGACGCUUAUGCGUUGUUGGGUAGGGGAGCGUUCUGUAAGCCUGUGAAGGUGUGCUGUGAGGCAUGCUGGAGGUAUCAGAAGUGCGAAUGCUGACAUAAGUAACGAUAAAGCGGGUGAAAAGCCCGCUCGCCGGAAGACCAAGGGUUCCUGUCCAACGUUAAUCGGGGCAGGGUGAGUCGACCCCUAAGGCGAGGCCGAAAGGCGUAGUCGAUGGGAAACAGGUUAAUAUUCCUGUACUUGGUGUUACUGCGAAGGGGGGACGGAGAAGGCUAUGUUGGCCGGGCGACGGUUGUCCCGGUUUAAGCGUGUAGGCUGGUUUUCCAGGCAAAUCCGGAAAAUCAAGGCUGAGGCGUGAUGACGAGGCACUACGGUGCUGAAGCAACAAAUGCCCUGCUUCCAGGAAAAGCCUCUAAGCAUCAGGUAACAUCAAAUCGUACCCCAAACCGACACAGGUGGUCAGGUAGAGAAUACCAAGGCGCUUGAGAGAACUCGGGUGAAGGAACUAGGCAAAAUGGUGCCGUAACUUCGGGAGAAGGCACGCUGAUAUGUAGGUGAAGUCCCUCGCGGAUGGAGCUGAAAUCAGUCGAAGAUACCAGCUGGCUGCAACUGUUUAUUAAAAACACAGCACUGUGCAAACACGAAAGUGGACGUAUACGGUGUGACGCCUGCCCGGUGCCGGAAGGUUAAUUGAUGGGGUCAGCGCAAGCGAAGCUCUUGAUCGAAGCCCCGGUAAACGGCGGCCGUAACUAUAACGGUCCUAAGGUAGCGAAAUUCCUUGUCGGGUAAGUUCCGACCUGCACGAAUGGCGUAAUGAUGGCCAGGCUGUCUCCACCCGAGACUCAGUGAAAUUGAACUCGCUGUGAAGAUGCAGUGUACCCGCGGCAAGACGGAAAGACCCCGUGAACCUUUACUAUAGCUUGACACUGAACAUUGAGCCUUGAUGUGUAGGAUAGGUGGGAGGCUUUGAAGUGUGGACGCCAGUCUGCAUGGAGCCGACCUUGAAAUACCACCCUUUAAUGUUUGAUGUUCUAACGUUGACCCGUAAUCCGGGUUGCGGACAGUGUCUGGUGGGUAGUUUGACUGGGGCGGUCUCCUCCUAAAGAGUAACGGAGGAGCACGAAGGUUGGCUAAUCCUGGUCGGACAUCAGGAGGUUAGUGCAAUGGCAUAAGCCAGCUUGACUGCGAGCGUGACGGCGCGAGCAGGUGCGAAAGCAGGUCAUAGUGAUCCGGUGGUUCUGAAUGGAAGGGCCAUCGCUCAACGGAUAAAAGGUACUCCGGGGAUAACAGGCUGAUACCGCCCAAGAGUUCAUAUCGACGGCGGUGUUUGGCACCUCGAUGUCGGCUCAUCACAUCCUGGGGCUGAAGUAGGUCCCAAGGGUAUGGCUGUUCGCCAUUUAAAGUGGUACGCGAGCUGGGUUUAGAACGUCGUGAGACAGUUCGGUCCCUAUCUGCCGUGGGCGCUGGAGAACUGAGGGGGGCUGCUCCUAGUACGAGAGGACCGGAGUGGACGCAUCACUGGUGUUCGGGUUGUCAUGCCAAUGGCACUGCCCGGUAGCUAAAUGCGGAAGAGAUAAGUGCUGAAAGCAUCUAAGCACGAAACUUGCCCCGAGAUGAGUUCUCCCUGACUCCUUGAGAGUCCUGAAGGAACGUUGAAGACGACGACGUUGAUAGGCCGGGUGUGUAAGCGCAGCGAUGCGUUGAGCUAACCGGUACUAAUGAACCGUGAGGCUUAACCU